UACGGGGGGGGCAAGCGUUGUUCGGAAUUACUGGGCGUAAAGGGCUCGUAGGCGGCCAACUAAGUCAGACGUGAAAUCCCUCGGCUUAACCGGGGAACUGCGUCUGAUACUGGAUGGCUUGAAUCCGGGAGAGGGAUGCGGAAUUCCAGGUGUAGCGGUGGAAUGCGCAGAUAUCAGGAGGAACACCGAUGGCGAAGGCAGAUCUCUGGGCCGUAACUGACGCUGAGGAGCGAAAGCAUGGGGAGCGAACAGG
rnacentral:rRNA from 1 species